rnacentral:rRNA from 1 species
AUGGCUAGGGUUUCGGGCAUGGCUUCGCCGGCGCGUCUCCGGUGGUCCAAAGUUCUUCUUUCCUUCCUUCUUGGCCGAGAUCCGCUGCCCCUACAUCUCACCUUCUCUUCAUAUCCUCUGCUGGAGAUGCAGUUGGGGCACGCCAUGGGAGUUCCCCAUCCACCACGGUCGUCGCCGUCAAGGGAUUCUUCAAGGAGAUGUCAAGGACGCCAUGGACAUGCAGCUCCUCAAGGUUUUAUCCCUCCUUUCCUCUGA